GGGAUAAGCCCGGGAAACUGGGUCUAAUACCGGAUACGACCAGCCCCUGCAUGGGGUGUUGGUGGAAAGUUUUUCGGUUGGGGAUGGGCUCGCGGCCUAUCAGCUUGUUGGUGGGGUGAUGGCCUACCAAGGCGACGACGGGUAACCGGCCUGAGAGGGCGACCGGUCACACUGGGACUGAGACACGGCCCAGACUCCUACGGGAGGCAGCAGUGGGGAAUAUUGCGCAAUGGGCGGAAGCCUGACGCAGCGACGCCGCGUGAGGGAUGACGGCCUUCGGGUUGUAAACCUCUUUCAGCAGGGACGAAGCUAACGUGACGGUACCUGCAGAAGAAGCGCCGGCUAACUACGUGCCAGCAGCCGCGGUAAUACGUAGGGCGCAAGCGUUGUCCGGAAUUAUUGGGCGUAAAGAGCUCGUAGGCGGUUUGUCGCGUCUGUCGUGAAAGCCCACGGCUUAACCGUGGGUCUGCGGUGGAUACGGGCAGACUAGAGGCAGGUAGGGGAGAAUGGAAUUCCCGGUGUAGCGGUGAAAUGCGCAGAUAUCGGGAGGAACACCGGUGGCGAAGGCGGUUCUCUGGGCCUGUACUGACGCUGAGGAGCGAAAGCGUGGGGAGCGAACAGGAUUAGAUACCCUGGUAGUCCACGCCGUAAACGUUGGGCGCUAGGUGUGGGGUCCUUCCACGGAUUCCGCGCCGCAGCUAACGCAUUAAGCGCCCCGCCUGGGGAGUACGGCCGCAAGGCUAAAACUCAA
rnacentral:rRNA from 1 species